GCAUUGGACAUCGGCGCAUUGGACAUCCUCGACACGGACAGAAAGCUUCAAAAUCUUCAGAAUGAGAUCCAAAGAAAAUGACCCGCAUCUCCAUCCUCACCUUUUCCCCAUCUUGUUUGGGCUUCAGAUCGAUGCAGACAAUGCCGUGGGAUGGGGGUAGCGCGACCUGUGCUGGGGCCUCCAGCGGCGGGGUAGGCGCCGACGACCGCAUCGACGUCGUCCCGGUUGUGCUCGUCCUCUUGCGGCAUCCUCAGGACGACAGCUCGCGCCGCCGCCCACCCUCUAGCUCUUGCCGUCGGGGCGAGCAUCGCCACACCUUCCUACUGCCGCCACUGCGCACGAGCUCAGAUCUGGAGGCGCGGAGGCGUCAGGCCCGAGAUGAGGGGGAGGGGCGAGGCAGGGAGGUGGCGGAGAAUAGGAGGGAGUGGCUGCGGUGAGGGAAGGGAUGAUGAAGAGGUGAGGUUUUCCUUCGUUGGGAAGGCAAAUCCUCUUGGACGAGGUGUUAUCUUCCAUGACACACAAAGAUUUUUUUUCUCCAAUCAAUGUGUGCCGCCGUGGAAUGUGCGUUUUGCCCAAUCCGUUCUCUAGCUGAGUUUUGUUUUGUCGUACCUGUGCCGACGUGGAUUGCGUGAGAGAGCGCCCAGCUUUCGUAGCUUAUUGUAUUGGAUGUCAUGUAUCACGAGUAAUGUAUGUCUCGAAGAAAAAAUCAUCACGACUAUUGUUCGAGUUGAUUCUCAGUCGAACAGAUGAAAGAGAUGGUAUGUUACAUUAUUGCUCACAGGUGACAUGCCCAUGGCAAGUCAGUCUGGAUCUCAAGCAGAUAAGCAAUUCUUCUCGUAACUCCGAGGACAAACGAACACUCGUGCUACAUUGUUGAUCACCCCGGUAAAAAUAAAGCCCAACAACCGGCUUGGAUUCAUCAGAUGUUGAGAUUGCGAAACUACCACACGACCUCGGGGUGCUUCAAUCGGGAUCGUGCGGCUGCUGGCGAUAUGCGCUGGGGCAGUUGCUCGACUGCGGGCGUGAGUGGCCUGGGCGUUGACCCGCGGGGCUAAUUUUGCUUUGCCGCUGUGGUCCUUUUCUUCCUCCGCCUCGUCGACGGGGAGCUCUGCUGCGACGUCCGUUGUCCUCCUGCGCAACAUCCUGUCCACAGGAGCUUGGGACUGACCAUGGUUUUCUCCUCGGCGGAGCCGUUUCCGGCAAUCAGUGUCUCCUCACCGGCUUCCGCGUUUGCCUAUGUCCAAGUCGAUCUCGCAUUCGAGUGCGGUGAGAAUCGCCGUUCCUCCUCCCGCUCACCCUGGUCGUAUGCACCUGAACGCAGGCCCGCCAUGCAUGAGCUUGAGCUUGAGCAUGGGAGCUCGGCCGAUGCACACACAACAGGCACGCAAGGCCGCGCCCCGCUGCACCAUGCUUGUGCUCAUCCGCACCCCCAAGAUGCCAAGGGGAAGCCUGGUAAUUGACGGUGAAGCUCCGUCGCGAGCAGCAGCCAUGGCUGCAGACCAAGUGAAGCCUGGUACCUACAUGCCUGAUAGAAAACCUCGCGCUGAUACUACAACAUGAAACUCACUACAACCAAGUGGCUAGUGCUAUGAAUCAUAACCCAGGCCACGAGGGAUCGAUCCCUAGUUUUGCCCAAUUUUUUGUAUUUCUGUUUUUUUUCCAUGCUCGUGUUGAGCAGUUUGUGGGUGGUAAAAAGAACAGUAGGUAAUGAGGAUCAUUCUGGGCCCCCCAAAAAAUUGUUGACAAUUACCGUGGUAACAAUUUUGACCCCAGAAAAAAGAGUUGUUGAAAACA